AGUGAACGCUGGCGGUAGGCCUAACACAUGCAAGUCGAACGGCAGCACAGUAAGAGCUUGCUCUUACGGGUGGCGAGUGGCGGACGUGGGAGGAAUACAUCGGAAUCUACUUUUUGGUGGGGGAUAACGUAGGGAAACUUACGCUAAUACCGCAUACGACCUACGGGUGAAAGCAGGGGAUCUUCGGACCUUGCGCGAUUGAAUGAGCCGAUGUCGGAUUAGCUAGUUGGCGGGGUAAAGGCCCACCAAGGCGACGAUCCGUAGCUGGUCUGAGAGGAUGGUAAGCCACACUGGAACUGAGACACGGUCAAGACUCCUACGGGGGGCAGCAGUGGGGAAUAUUGGACAAUGGGCGCAAGCCUGAUCUAGCCAUACCGCGUGUGUGAAGAAGGCCUUCGGGUUGUAAAGCCCUUUUGUUGGGAAAGAAAAGCAGCAGGUUAAUACCCCGCUGUUCUGACGGUAACCAAAGAAUAAGCACCGGCUAACUUCGUG
rnacentral:rRNA from 1 species